GUGGGGAAUAUUGGACAAUGGGCGCAAGCCUGAUCCAGCCAUGCCGCGUGAGUGAUGAAGGCAUUAGGGUUGUAAAGCUCUUUUGUCCGGGCAGAUAAUGACUGUACCGGAAGAAUAAGCCCCGGCUAACUUCGUGCCAGCAGCCGCGGUAAUACGAAGGGGGCUAGCGUUGCUCGGAAUCACUGGGCGUUAAGGGCGCGUAGGCGGACUCUUAAGUCGGGGGUGAGAGCCCAGGGCUCAACCCUGGAAUUGCCUUCGAUACUGAGAGUCUUGAGGUCGAAAGAGGUUUGUAGAAUGGCGAGUGUAGAGGUGAAAUUCGUAGAUAUUCGCAAGAACACCAGUGGCGAAGGCGGGCAACUGGUCCGAUACGUACGCUGAGGCGCGAGAGCGUGGGGAGCAAACAGGAUUAGAAACCCGGGUAGUCC
rnacentral:rRNA from 1 species